CCAGGAAACAUCCCUGAGAUCCAGAGGAAGCUCUCAGCAGAGGGAAAGGGAGGAUGAUGGCUAAGGGUACACUCUGGAACCUUGAACUCAGCCCCACACAAGCAGCAUCCCUGGGGAAAGUGUAGAGGAGCCUGGAAAUUUCCCCUGUAGCAACAGGGUACCGAUGAGCAGACACUGGGUGACUUGGGCUUGCAGAUGUAGCAAGUGGACCCAGAACCUGAGGAAGGCAAAGAGGCAAGUGAACUCUCUCUCACCCAUGUUCAAGGUCAAACCUCAGAAAUCCCAGUAUCUCCCAGAGCUCUGUCACACCAGGAAGGCCAGCAGCAGUCUAUUCCAUGAACACUGCCUGAGAGAAGGUUGGACAGGACACACCUGAGGGUCAAGUGGAAAACAAGGUCAUGAGAGUCUAUUGCCUGCCAUAUAUUCAUGUGGGAUUCCAACUUUGGAACCAGCUGCCAUUGCCAAGACCCUAAAGCCAGUGGGGUGGGUCACAUUUAUGAACUGCAGGCCUGGUGGAUGCAGAGGCUGCUCUGGCUGAGGGCAGUCUGACCUUGACUGAUACAUAGCUCAGGACCCUAAACUUUCAACAUGACCAGGGCCCCUGGGAGGCUCAAGUGGCCCAGCAGAGGUGUGGUGAGGACCUCCAAGACCCAGCUAGGCACCCAGGGCCGGAGUCUCCCCUUCAAGCCCAUCUCUUCAACCUUACACAAGAGAAAGUCUCAGCUCACCUAGGGAGCAGGACCCAAAUUCCCCUCCCUCUGAACCAGAUCUGAAGGAUUUGACAUUCUCUGGAACAUUGAUCCAGACUCCACUGGGGAGACAAGGUAUUAGUAUGGUCCACCAUACCCAUGAAUCCUUCUUUCACCAAAGCCAAAGUCAUGAAUAAACUUUGAAAUGGAAACAAAUAACCUUGAACUUUCCCCCUGUAGCCAGGAUAGGAGGCAAGAGACAGGGAAGCUAAGAAACAGGGAGGGGGCUCAGCUUCCUGAGGCCUUGAGAUUGAGAUAGCAGGGGGAGAAGUGUGGCCAUUCAUUCUAAGUGCUCACAGGCUCAUUGACCUUCAAGGAACAACUUGUAUAUCAGAACAGCCUUUCGAUCCUGCCUUCAGCAUUUUGUAGGAGCACAGCCUUGACCUUUCAUUUAGAAGUUCUGGGGCCUCAGCCUCCUAGGACACUGAGCUGCUGCUUCAAUCAAGUAUUUUUGUAUUAUGUAAACAUCCAUGCAUGUAUGCCGAGGUCACCAAGGUCUUAUAUCCAUUUCUCUACAUGCCUCUCAAGAAGCGUCAAUGAAAUUUCCUCCUGAUAGAAA